rnacentral:rRNA from 1 species
CCAGACUCCUACGGGAGGCAGCAGUGAGGAAUAUUGGUCAAUGGCCGAGAGGCUGAACCAGCCAAGUCGCGUGAGGGAUGACGGCCCUACGGGUUGUAAACCUCUUUUGUCGGGGAGCAAAGAGAGUCACGUGUGGCUCAUUGAGAGUACCCGAAGAAAAAGCAUCGGCUAACUCCGUGCCAGCAGCCGCGGUAAUACGGAGGAUGCGAGCGUUAUCCGGAUUUAUUGGGUUUAAAGGGUGCGUAGGCGGGAUGCCAAGUCAGCGGUAAAAAUGCGGUGCUCAACGCCGUCGAGCCGUUGAAACUGGCGUUCUUGAGUGGGCGAGAAGUAUGCGGAAUGCGUGGUGUAGCGGUGAAGUGCAUAGAUAUCACGCAGAACUCCGAUUGCGAAGGCAGCAUACCGGCGCCCUACUGACGCUGAGGCACGAAAGCGUGGGUAUCGAACAGGAUUAGAUACCCGAGUA